rnacentral:misc_RNA from 1 species
AUCACACACCGGACCAUAUAUAAACAGGCUGCAAUGUUAGCAAGCCGAAUCAGUUGUCGUGAACUUGCUGUGCGAAUUUUACUUAGACCCAAGAAGUUGCCAAGAUGAAAUUUCUCGUUUUAUUGGCCGUGAUUGGUGUUGCCGCUGCAACUUACACCAUUAAAACCCACGACGAUUUGAUCAAAACCCGUGGUCUUUGCGUCAAGGAGUUAAAUGUUCCCGACAACUAUGUGGAGAAGUUCAAGAAAUGGGACUUCCAGGACGACGAGACGACCCGGUGCUACAUUAAGUGUGUCCUCAACAAGAUGGAAUUGUUCGAUACUGCCAAUGGAUUCAACGUUGAAAACUUGGUAGAGCAACUUGGCCAAAAUAAGGAUAAGACCGAAGUCCGCACAGAAGUUACUAAGUGCAGUGACAAGAAUGAACAAAAGUCUGACGAUUGCACUUGGGCCUACCGUGGAUUUAAGUGUUUCCUUUCCAAGCAUUUACAAUUGGUUCAAAGCAGUGUAAAGUCCUAAAGAGAUCAUGUUGAAUAAUAUUCGGUGAUAUUCAAGGAGAAGAACAUGUGAAAUAUAAAAGUUUUCAAAUUUACAGAUUUAUCGUUUUUACUCGCUGAAUCCUGGAACACUGAUCGUUCUAAAACACUCAAAACUCUUAAAAACUAGUUUGGAGCGGAUCACCAAAAUUCUAAAAGAAGCGCUUCCCAAAAUUAAGUUUUCUUCAGAGUGAAUGGGUUGCGUGAGGGUAAUUUCUUCUUCUUUUCAUCCCGACAGUUCCUGCAAAAUGAUGCGCUUGCGAAAACAAUAUAAACCAUAUGAAUAAA